UAUGACGAGUUCUGGAUUUACGACUAUAUGCCUUUCCUUGAUGGCACCCAUUCGAUAAUGAGACGUUAGAAUCGUAUUAAACCAACGACAGAAAAGUGCACGAAUUGAUAAGAAGGGACUGUUUUGUUUAAAGAGGAGGCUACUGUUACAAAUUCAAUGCAGCUGGCUUCAUGCCUGAAACUAAAAUGUCGGAUAUCGUAAAGUGACUCAUGAUGCUGUAACGUCCCUUUAAAAAACAAACAAACAAAAAACAACUUGAAUCUAAAGUUCUAAGUGUAUAGUAUCUGAAAACACAAUGAAGAUUAAAUUGUUGUUUUACCCCCCAAUGAGAUCCCAUUAAUUCCUGCUGGUGCCCCACGCCCCCCAUCAACCGAUGGAACCGGAAGUUCUUCUAUUAUUUUAAAACUUGUCUGAAGAAUAAAAUCCACAAAAUCUCUUAUAGCAAUUACAUUUAUAGGUAAAAUAUAAAGUACGUGGAACUUAUAAACUGCAAGCGCAGAACCAGAACGCCGCAUUUCUUGAAUGGCCUAAUGUUGCCCCCUUGUGACCAAACCUGCAAACUGCAUCCAGCCUUUAAAAUACAAAACGAGUAGUACUGACAGAAGAAACAGCUGGACUUGAAUCGCUAAACACACACGCGGAUUUUUGUGAAUGAGACAGUAACACGUUUCCUCUCAGAUGGCUGGAGUGGAGAACUCUACCAGCGGGAUUAUAUAUGAAUACUAUUAUGAUUACCUGGAUCCCGUGAUUGUGGACGAGAGAACGUUAAAGUACUAUAAAUAUUCAGUUGUUAUAAUAUUUUGGGUAGUCGUCAUUACCUUUGUGGUAUGUCUUUUUCUCACUUUGAAUCUAUUGUCUCGCAGUGGAAACCUACCAAAGAAUCACACGUCAACUAAUUCACUAGAGACUCGACCUGAAUGAGAACAUAGUGAAAAACGGAGGCGAUGGACUCAAAUUCAAACUGUGAUGAUAAGAAUUCUACAGGAAUGGUUCUCCAGGCUUCUUAAAGAACAUUCAACGCUCUUCAUUGAGGUCCAGAUCAAUCCACAACUUUCAUUGUGUUUUUUCUAUCCAGAUGGCUCUUAUGUCUGCUUUCUUCUGGGAUGAUUUCACUUUCUUGCACUUGGCUGUGGUCACCAAACUGACAUGAGACAGGAAGAGAUCAGCUGAUGUGGCUCCACUCCACACUUCAUGGAUGUACAGUGACAGCAGAGACAACCCUGCUUCUGGAAACAAGAAAACAAGACAUCCAACUCAUUUACAAAACAACCUACUACAACUUAUUGUCACUUUGGGACUUUAAAUAUACUGAAAAAGAAAAUGUAAACAUGUAUUUACUAUUUUCUUCUAUAUUUAAAUGUAUACUUUUACUUAGGAUGGAUUCUACAUUAUGAUUAAAAUAUAUUUGACAAUA